GCGGCGGACGGGAUGAGUAAUGCCUAGCGAAUCUGCCUGGUAGUGGGGGAUAACGUUCGGAAACGGACGCUAAUACCGCAUACGUCCUACGGGAGAAAGCAGGGGACCUUCGGGCCUUGCGCUAUCAGAUGAGCCUAGGUCGGAUUAGCUAGUUGGUGGGGUAAUGGCUCACCAAGGCGACGAUCCGUAACUGGUCUGAGAGGAUGAUCAGUCACACUGGAACUGAGACACGGUCCAGACUCCUACGGGAGGCAGCAGUGGGGAAUAUUGGACAAUGGNCGAAAGCCUGAUCCAGCCAUGCCGCGUGUGUGAAGAAGGUCUUCGGAUUGUAAAGCACUUUAAGUUGGGAGGAAGGGUUGUAGAUUAAUACUCUGCAAUUUUGACGUUACCGACAGAAUAAGCACCGGCUAACUCUGUGCCAGCAGCCGCGGUAAUACAGAGGGUGCAAGCGUUAAUCGGAAUUACUGGGCGUAAAGCGCGCGUAGGUGGUUAGUUAAGUUGGAUGUGAAAUCCCCGGGCUCAACCUGGGAACUGCAUUCAAAACUGACUGACUAGAGUAUGGUAGAGGGUGGUGGAAUUUCCUGUGUAGCGGUGAAAUGCGUANAUAUAGGAAGGAACACCAGUGGCGAAGGCGACCACCUGGACUGAUACUGACACUGAGGUGCGAAAGCGUGGGGAGCAAACAGGAUANAUACCCUGGUA
rnacentral:rRNA from 1 species